GCUAGGUCUACUAUUAAAGGAGGGAGUACACUUCUUUCCCCACAGAUUAAAUGUUGAAGUGCUCUGCUGGAUUUAGACGAAAAGUGUGUUUCUGUGGACAUUGCUUUAAUCUUGGAUCUUAGAGCUAAUAAUACGGUGCUUAUUCAAAAGAAGGGAACAUUAGAAGAGACAAAUGGAGAGGAGGAGGGAUGAACAUUCACAAGCCAGCGGAUCAAAACCAGCAAAUGUGGAGAAUCUUGUUAAAAGGAGGAGUAUGAGUCAACCUCCUCUGGAUCUGAAAUUCUCUCAUGAUGCAGACAGACCAGAGAGUUAUCUCGAUGUAUCAGAAUCAAAGACGAGCAGAUCAUCUGAGCACCAACCAGACAAAACUCUGUGAAUCUCUUACAUUUCUUCAGAUGGAGCUGAAAUAGUUAAUUGUUUCCAGUCCUGGCUUUAUCCAAUCAGGAGCUUCUUCAGCAGCUUGGGUUCAGAAAUCCACCUUUAUGUAGAAAGUAGAAAGUAUGUAAGUCUUGCCAGUUUACUCUUAACUGUAAAGGAGUUUUCCAUAUUGAUUUUUUUACAGGUGUUUUAUUUUCCGUUGUUGUUUUUGUUGUUUAACAGUGUUUUCUGUGUUUUCUGUGCACACACAGUGAGCACAAAUCAGACAUUACUGAACUGAUCUUAACUGAGUUACAAUAAAAUGUCUUGAAUGUAACUAGUUGGGAGAAAAACCAGAGACAACAGCUAUAUACUUAUAAACCUGUUGCUGUCUUGUGUCAUUAAUGUUUAGUGAAAAAAAAAAAAAACGCUUUUUCAUCAAUCUUGACUUAACUUCUUUACACCUUUAAUAAGGAUUAAGCUAUAUUUAAUUUAUCGUUGUAGUAUUUCAUACCUGAAUGCUGGACAGUAUCUUUCAUUUGUAUCCUUGUUCAUUUGUAUUUGCACUAUCGCUCAUAAUUUGGUUAUAAAUUAUUUUAUUUUAAUGCCCAGGGAAUGUUCAUUGGUCCUACCUUACAUAAAAUCAAAUAUAUUGUGUAUAUGUAAAGAUUGUGUAUACUGUAUGUACUGUAUGUUUUUUUAAUAUGAUUCUGCCAAAAAUAAACUAUCAUCAUCAUUUGCUCA